rnacentral:sRNA from 1 species
UAUCUCUCCGUACGGGGAAGGAUGAGAAGCUUCGACUAAGGUUCGAUUCGAGCGCAGCGAGAAAGCGUUGCCGUAGGCAACGACCCGAAGGGCGAAGCGCGCAGCGCUGAGUAAUCCUUCCCCCACAACCA